CCCGCACAUACGUGAUCUCUACACGCGUGUUCCUGUGUUGUAUGCGUGUUCUGAUGCGGCUUUCUCCUCUUAUACACAUGUGACAUUCUACAUACAUGAUGCCAUGUCACACGCAUGUUCUGAUCACUUCUGUGUUCACACAUGUGACGCUUCACACACGUGCUCACAUGUCACACACGUGUUCUCACGCGGUUCGGUGCUCACUUCCAUCCCUGCGACACUCAACACGCGUGUGCUCCCAUCACACGCGUGUUCCAAUGCACUUCUGUGUUCUCUUACCCAUGCGUGAUGCCCUACACAGGUUCCCAUGGCACACGCGUGUGCUCUCACAGAGCUCUUCACACACGUGACCUCACAUACGUGUCCCCACGUCACACAUGUGUGGCCUCAUAUACGUGUCCCCAUGUCAAACAGGUGAUCUCACGUGUCCCCAUGUUACACGCGUGACCUCACACACACGUGUCCCCAUGGCACACACGUGUGCUCUCAUGGAGCUCCGUGCCCCUUCACACACGUGUGACCUCACACAUACGUGUCCCCAUGUCACACACGUGUGGCCUCACAUACGUGUCCCCAUGUCAAACAGGUGAUCUCACGUGUCCCCAUGUUACACACGUGACCUCACACACACGUGUCCCCACAUUACACACGUGACCUCACACAUACGUGUCCCCAUGGCACACGUGUGCACUCUCACGGAGCUCUGUGCCCCUUCACACACGUGUGACCUCAUAUAUGUGUCCCCACGUUACACACGUGUGGCCUCACAUACAUGUCCCCAUGUCAAACGUGUGAUCUCACGUGUCCCCAUGUUACACACGUGACCUCACACACACGUGUCCCCACGUUACACACGUGACCUCACACAUAUGUGUCUCCACGGCACACGUGUGUGCUCUCACGGAGCUCCAUGCCCCUUCACACACGUGUGACCUCACACACGUGUCCCCACGUCACACACGUGUGGCCUCACAUACGUGUCCCCAUGUCAAACACGUGAUCUCACGUGUCCCCAUGUCAAACACGUGACCUCACACACAUGUGUCCCCA
rnacentral:lncRNA from 7 species